UACGGUAGGGGGCUAGCGUUGUCCGGAAUCAUUGGGCGUAAGCGCGCGUAGGCGGCCCGGUAAGUCCGCUCUGAAAGUCCAGGGCUCAACCCUGGAAUGCGGGUGGAUACUGCAGGGCUAGAGUCCGGAAGAGGAGAGUGGAAUUCCUGGUGUAGCGGUGAAAUGCGCAGAUAUCAGGAAGAACACCCGUGGCGAAGGCGGCUCUCUGGGACGGUACUGACGCUGAGACGCGAAAGCGUGGGGAGCGAACAGG
rnacentral:rRNA from 1 species